AAAAUCUAGCCACUUUUGUAUGAAUGUUAGUUAGGGUUUAUAUUUUUGAUAAGUGUUUUGUUUGUUUGAUUCCGUUUUUUUUGUAUAAAUGUUAGAAAGACUAGAGUUGAUCAUCAUCAUAGGUUCAAUGGGGGUUUAAGGUGUGUGUUCAAAGACAUAGCUUUUGUUUGUUGUUCUAUAUAACUUGGCCUUUUUAAUUCAUUAGUGGUUCAAAGAUAAAAAAAAAAAAAGUGUCUUUGUUUGGUUUUCUUUGCCAAUCUGUGGAGUUCGAUUAAGUUUAUUGUAAAUUUGUAAUGGUCGUUAGGGCAAGUUAUAUCAACUUAUGCAGACUUUUUCCUACUUUCAGAUUAAGGAGAAUGUUUUUUGUUUUGUUUUUUUGUCUUUAAUCAAAAAAAAGUUAAAAAGAGUGAGAAUCUAUGGAAGCACAGGGCAAGGGACCAUGUAAAGCUUGUGAUUAAAAGUGCAGCGUCCUUUUAUCACUUUAUGCACUUUUCACAUCAGCAUAUACAUUGGAAUGUGAGCUUUUUUAUUCUAAAAGAUAACAGCAAGAAAGAGAUUUCAUGAAGGAAGCGUGAAAAUGUCCUGGGAUGGUACUCUCUUAGCUUGCACAUGUUCAUGUUGCUGGGAAGUUAUUGGCUUUGAACCCUGGCUUCCCUCUUAGCAAGGACUCUGGCUUCUCUAUCCAUUGGACUGAGUUGGGUUAUCAUCUGACUUGGAGGGUCAGGUAGUUGGUCUACUGUUGCUUUGGGCGUUCUUGGAUGUGAAGCUGUUUUGACACGCGGUGUUGACUCCGGCACAACACCAGUUUCCAUGGAUGAAAUGUAUGCCUAAUGACAGAAACAAAGACAUUCUCAAUCCCCCUGGUGGCCCUUUGAUUCUUCGAGUUGAAGUGGAACCACCCUAUCUCCCCCGUAGCUUGUUUGUGGUACGCCGCAGUCUUGUUGCUGUUGAUUGUAUUGACUUGUGAAUUGGUAGUCCAUACUUGAGUUGU